UACGUAGGGGGCGAGCGUUGUCCGGAAUUACUGGGCGUAAAGGGUUCGCAGGCGGCAUGGCAAGUCCGAUGUAAAAGGCGAAAGCUCAACUUUCGUAAGCAUUUGAAACUGCAUAUCUUGAGAAGAGUAGAGGUAAGUGGAAUUUUUAGUGUAGCGGUGAAAUGCGUAGAUAUUAAAAAGAAUACCGGUGGCGAAGGCGACUUACUGGGCUCAUUCUGACGCUGAGGAACGAAAGCGUGGGUAGCAAACAGG
rnacentral:rRNA from 1 species